rnacentral:rRNA from 1 species
AGAGUUUGAUCCUGGCUCAGGAUGAACGCUGGCGGCGUGCUUAAUACAUGCAAGUCGAACGAAGAGCUUUUGUAGCAAUACGGAAGCUUCUUAGUGGCGAACGGGUGCGUAACGCGUUGGUGACCUGCCCCGAAGUGUGGGAUAACAGUUCGAAAGGACUGCUAAUACCGCAUGUGAUCAUCGGUUUCAGAAUCUGAUGAUUAAAGCAGUAAUGCGCUUCGGGAGGGACCUGCGUCCCAUCAGCUAGUUGGUGAGGUAACGGCCCACCAAGGCUACGACGGGUAGGGGACCUGAGAGGGUGGUCCCCCACACUGGCACUGAAACACGGGCCAGACACCUACGGGUGGCAGCAGUAGGGAAUAUUGGGCAAUGGGCGAAAGCCUGACCCAGCAACGCCGCGUGCACGAUGAAGGUCUUCGGAUCGUAAAGUGCUUUUCUGAGAGAUGAGAAAGGACAGUAUCUCAGGAAUAAGUCUCGGCUAACUACGUGCCAGCAGCCGCGGUAACACGUAGGAGGCAAGCGUUAUCCGGAUUUACUGGGCGUAAAGCGCGUGCAGGUGGUUCGGUAAGUUGGAUGUGAAAGCUCCUGGCUCAACUGGGAGAGGUCGUUCAAUACUACCGGACUUGAGAGCAGUAGAGGGAGGUGGAAUUCCCGGUGUAGUGGUGAAAUGCGUAGAUAUCGGGAGGAACACCAGUGGCGAAAGCGGCCUCCUGGACUGUUUCUGACACUCAGACGCGAAAGCUAGGGUAGCAAACGGGAUUAGAGACCCCGGUAGUCCUAGCUGUAAACGAUGUGAACUUGGCGUCGGCGGGUUCAAAGCCGUCGGUGCCGAAGCCAACGCGAUAAGUUCACCGCCUGGGGACUACGGCCGCAAGGUUAAAACUCAAAGGAAUUGACGG